GGGCCCGUAGUUCACCGGUAGAAUAAUUCCAUGGCAUGGAAUAGAAAAGGGUUCAAUUCCCUUCGGGUCCA
rfam:Candidatus Collierbacteria bacterium RIFCSPHIGHO2_01_FTLL_50_25 rifcsphigho2_01_scaffold_47885, whole genome shotgun sequence.